rnacentral:misc_RNA from 1 species
CAACCCCUAAGCACAGCUUAUUGUUGGGCGUCUACUCCGGUAGUGCCUCAAAGACAUUGGCGGAGCGGCAGUAGUCCUCUGAGCGUAGUAAUUCUUUAUCUCGCUUUUGUCAGGUGCUGCCCCCCCGGCCGUAAAACCCCCCAAUUUUUUCU